rnacentral:rRNA from 1 species
UACGUAGGGUGCGAGCGUUAAUCGGAAUUACUGGGCGUAAAGCGUGCGCAGGCGGUUUUGUACGCCAGAUGUGAAAUCCCCGGGCUUAACCUGGGAAUGGCAUUUGGGACUGCAAGGCUUGAGUGCGGCAGAGGAGACUGGAAUUCCUGGUGUAGCAGUGAAAUGCGUAGAUAUCAGGAGGAAUACCGAUGGCGAAGGCAGGUCUCUGGGCUGACACUGACGCUCAUGCACGAAAGCGUGGGGAGCAAACAGG